rnacentral:rRNA from 1 species
UACGUAGGGUGCGAGCGUUGUCCGGAAUUAUUGGGCGUAAAGAGCUCGUAGGCGGUCUGUCGCGUCGGUCGUGAAAACUUGGGGCUUAACCCUGAGCUUGCGGUCGAUACGGGCAUGACUGGAGUUCGGCAGGGGAGACUGGAAUUCCUGGUGUAGCGGUGAAAUGCGCAGAUAUCAGGAGGAACACCGGUGGCGAAGGCGGGUCUCUGGGCCGAAACUGACGCUGAGGAGCGAAAGCGUGGGGAGCAAACAGG